rnacentral:rRNA from 1 species
UACGGGGGGGGGCAAGCGUUGUUCGGAAUUACUGGGCGUAAAGGCUCGUAGGCGGCCAACUAAGUCGGAUGUGAAAUCCCCAGGCUACACCGUGGAAUGGCAUUGGUGACUGCACGGCUAGAGUGUGUCAGAGGGGGGUAGAAUUCCACGUGUAGCAGUGAAAUGCGUAGAGAUGUGGAGGAAUACCGAUGGCGAAGGCAGCCCCUG